UACGGGGGGAGCAAGCGUUGUUCGGAUUUACUGGGCGUAAAGGGCGCGUAGGCGGUCAGCACAAGUCAGUUGUGAAAUCUCCGGGCUUAACUCGGAAAGGUCAACUGAUACUGUGCGACUAGAGUGCAGAAGGGGCAACUGGAAUUCCCGGUGUAGUGGUGAAAUGCGUAGAGAUCGGGAGGAACACCAGUGGCGAAGGCGGCCUUCUGGGCAUUUCCUGACGCUGAGGCGCGAAAGCGUGGGGAGCGAACCGG
rnacentral:rRNA from 1 species